AGUGAACGCUAGCGGUGCGCCUAACACAUGCAAGUCGAGUGUGCUCGCAAGAGUAACACGGCAGACGGCUGCGUAACACGUUGGUACCUGCCCCAGACUCAGGGAUAACCCCGCGAAAGCGGGGCUAAUACCGGAUGGUCCCGAAAGGGUAAAGAUUUUUCGGUCUGGGAGGGGCCCGCGUCGGAUUAGCUAGUUGGUGGGGUAACGGCCUACCAAGGCGACGAUCCGUAGCUGAUCUUAGAGGAUGAUCAGCCACACUGGGACUGAGACACGGCCCAGACUCCUACGGGAGGCAGCAGUGGGGAAUCUUGGACAAUGGGCGCAAGCCUGAUCCAGCCAUGCCGCGUGAGUGAAGAAGGUCUUCGGAUUGUAAAGCUCUUUUGCCAGGGACGAUAAUGACGGUACCUGGAGAAUAAGCCCCGGCAAACUUCGUGCCAGCCGCCGCGGUAA
rnacentral:rRNA from 1 species